GUCCCGCCUGCCCUGUGACUAUAGUUUAACGGCCGCGGUAUUUUGACCGUGCAAAGGUAGCGCAAUCACUUGUCUUUUUUAAAUGAAGACCUGUAUGAAUGGCACAACGAGGGGCUUAGCUGUCUCCUUUUUCCAGUCAAUGAAAUUGAUCUCCCCGUGCAGAAGCGAGGAUAAAACCAUAAGACGAGAAGACCCUAUGGAGCUUUAGACGCCAGAAUAAAUCAUGUCAAAUACCCCCAAACACAGGGCCGAACUAAAUGAGCAUUAUUCCAUGUCUUUGGUUGGGGCGACCGCGGGGAAAUAAAAAACCCCCACGUGGACUGGAAUUAUGCUAUUCCACAACUAAGAGCCCCCGCUCUAGUUAACAGAAUUUCUGACCAACAAAGAUCCGGCAACGCCGAUCAACGGACCGAGUUACCCUAGGGAUAACAGCGCAAUCCUCUUUUAGAGCCCAUAUCGACAAGAGGGUUUACGACCUCGAUGUUGGAUCAGGACAUCCUAAUGGUGCAGCCGCUAUUAAGGGUUCGUUUGUUCAACGAUUAA
rnacentral:rRNA from 1 species